rnacentral:rRNA from 1 species
UAGAGUUUGAUCAUGGCUCAGAUUGAACGCUGGCGGCAGGCCUAACACAUGCAAGUCGAGCGGUAACAGAAAGAAAGCUUGCUUUCUUUGCUGACGAGCGGCGGACGGGUGAGUAAUGCCUGGGAAUAUACCCUGAUGUGGGGGAUAACUAUUGGAAACGAUAGCUAAUACCGCAUAAUCUCUUCGGAGCAAAGAGGGGGACCUUCGGGCCUCUCGCGUCAGGAUUAGCCCAGGUGGGAUUAGCUAGUUGGUGGGGUAAUGGCUCACCAAGGCAACGAUCCCUAGCUGGUCUGAGAGGAUGAUCAGCCACACUGGAACUGAGACACGGUCCAGACUCCUACGGGAGGCAGCAGUGGGGAAUAUUGCACAAUGGGGGAAACCCUGAUGCAGCCAUGCCGCGUGUAUGAAGAAGGCCUUCGGGUUGUAAAGUACUUUCAGUUGUGAGGAAGACAGUUAAGUUAAUAGCUUGGCUGUUUGACGUUAGCAACAGAAGAAGCACCGGCUAACUCCGUGCCAGCAGCCGCGGUAAUACGGAGGGUGCGAGCGUUAAUCGGAAUUACUGGGCGUAAAGCGCAUGCAGGCGGUUUGUUAAGCGAGAUGUGAAAGCCCCGGGCUUAACCUGGGAGUUGCAUUUCGAACUGGCGAACUAGAGUCCUGUAGAGGGGGGUAGAAUUUCA